rnacentral:snRNA from 22 species
AUCCUUAUGCACGGGAAAUACGCAUAUCAGUGAGGAUUCGUCCGAGAUUGUGUUAUUGCUGGUUGAAAUUUUUAACCUGACCGCUCCUCAUAGUUUAAUGUGUCUUUUUUACACUAUAUGGCUAUGCAGGGAAUUUUUGGAAUUAUCCUCUGAUG